CAUUUUUAGGGAGACCUACACCCCUCAAAUCUUGAAAGCAAAAUGCAAAUAAAGAUUGAGUUGGUCUAACCUAGGUCGGUCGCUUCUACUUGAAUUGUUGAGUGCUUUCAAACUAUGAUUUGGUUCGUAUUGGGGCUAUUAGCUCAGGUGGUUAGAGCGCACCCCUGAUAAGGGUGAGGUCCCUGGUUCGAGUCCAGGAUGGCCCACCUAAAACAAGUCAAAAAUCAAAAGUCAAAAGUCAAAAGUAAAGAGUUGAUUUUUGAAGAUUGAAGAUUGAAUUGUAUCUGGGGGUUUAGCUCAGUUGGUAGAGCGCCUGCUUUGCAAGCAGGAUGUCAGCGGUUCGAGUCCGCUAAUCUCCACCUGUGGUGUAAUGCCAAAAACAGAAGUGAGAAAUCAGCAACAUGACAUUUAUGUAUUGCAUUUAGAUGUCAGACUGCUGAGAUGAUCUCAGCCAGAACCUUGAAAACUGCAUAGUAACGCGAAAUUAGCAGGCAGACGCAGACAUUCUUUAGAAUGAUUGUGUUUGCAUGGUGAAACACCAAAUGUAUUG
rnacentral:tRNA from 1 species